rnacentral:rRNA from 1 species
CAAUAGCGUAUAUUAAAGUUGUUGCAGUUAAAAAGCUCGUAGUUGGAUUUCUGGUGGGAGCGAUCGGUCUGGCGCUUAGCGCGAGUACUUGCAUCGUCUCCGGCCAUCCUUGGGGAGAGUCUGUCUGGCAUUAAGUUGUCGGGCAGAGGAUCCUCAUCGUUUACUGUGAAAAAAUUAGAGUGUUCAAAGCAGGCUUAUGCCGUUGAAUAUAUUAGCAUGGAAUAAUAAGAUAGGACUUUGGUACUAUUUUGUUGGUUUGCGCACCAAAGUAAUGAUUAAUAGGGACAGUUGGGGGUAUUCGUAUUCCUUUGUCAGAGGUGAAAUUCUUGGAUUUACGGAAGACGAACUACUGCGAAAGCAUUUACCAAGGAUGUUUUCAUUAA